CCUACGGGAGGCAGCAGUAGGGAAUGUUUCACAAUGGGCGAAAGCCUGAUGGAGCAAUGCCGCGUGAAUGAUGAAGGUCUUAUAGAUUGUAAAAUUCUUUUAUGUGGGAAGAAAAACUAAAGUAGGAAAGGACUUUAGUAUGACUGUACCAUGGGAAUAAGUAUCGGCUAACUAUGUGCCAGCAGCCGCGGUAAUACCUAGGAUGCAAGCGUUAUCCGGAUUUACUGGGCGUAAAACGAGCGCAGGCGGGUUAACAAGUUUGGUAUUAAAGGCUUUGGCUUAACGAAAGUUUGUAUCCAAAACUUUUAAUCUAGAGUGUAGUCGAGUGUUCUGGAAUUCCAUUUGGAGCGG
rnacentral:rRNA from 1 species